rfam:Oryza sativa Japonica Group DNA, chromosome 4, cultivar: Nipponbare, complete sequence.
AAUAAGCGCAACCAUGAGUUUUGUGUCUAACUUUGAUCGUCCGUUUUAUUUUAAAUUUUUUAUGAUUAAUAUUUUUAUUGUUAUUAGAUUAUAAAACACAAAUAGUACUUUAUGUGUGACUUAUGUUCUUUAGUUUUUUCAAAAAAAAUUAAAUAAAACGGAUGAUUAAAGUUGGACACGGAAAUUCAUGGCUAUGCUUAUU